CCCAGAGCUCCAACGGCGUGAGCGAAGUGGCGGGAAACAUAGCAAGCGCACAGAAAAGAGGAGAAGUGGAGAAGAAUAUGGAGAACAACAACAGGUACACAAGAAUUCUUUCUGCUCCUACAGAAGUUUGUUAUUCCAAUUUGAGAUCAUCACUUCACAGACUACUGACAGGUAUCCAAUCCGUUGAUGGAGUUUUGAACUUCAAACGGGGCAGCUACAGACAGUUACAGACAGCCAAUGGAGAGAACCAAGGACGGGAGACACAUUGGAAUGCUUUAGCAGGUCAAACACAACUCGUUCAGUGGCUUUCUGUAGCAGCAGGAGAGGCUUGAUGUGUAGUAGAGGCAAGGUGUGAUAAGUGAGGAUG
rnacentral:lncRNA from 1 species